UUUUUUGUUCCUUCUCAAUAUAUAAAAAGUGAACUGCAUAGACACAAAUAGCAAUGAAACACAAUACUGGAUGCUGAUAUCUUUCACCACCAUAGGCUGCAAAAACACACCACAUUGGACAGCAACACCACUGUUAUA